GUGAGUGCUUUAAAAAACCAAAAGACAAAUCAUUCUGCGCAGCACACAGCGCUCUAUCGUCAGGUCCCAGCAUCCUGCUGAAAUAGGGAGGGCAUAACCAGGUGCUGUUUUAUUCUCUCCUUGAAAGCACAGAUGGCCUCUAUUGAGACAAGUUGAUGAAUUUACAGCACAAUAAUAGUACGGUUAAUAUUAAUUUAUACACACAUGUACAUAUGUGUAAAAAAAAAAAAGUGCAAUUGAAAACAAUAACUUCUGUAGAGCCCAGCACAAAUUAAUCUGAAUCCCAGUUGCCUGUUGACAUCCUUUUCACUCAGUCACAUAUUGUUAAUACACAUCCACAAAUUACCUGCAAAACUAAAUCACAUCACAUGUCUAUGCUGGUCUGGACAUUCUUCACUUUGUUAGGUUGAAUCAGAUCCAUACAGGACAGAACAAACAAGGCAGUCUCUGAUGGUUUCAGAGCUGUUCUGUCCCAUAAAUGAUCUGAUCAGCUGCUGCCAUCUUGUGGCCACAGUUGAUUACUGUCUCUGAAAUCUGUCUCAUUUUUCUGUUUUCCAGUCACGCUGAGAAGAGCGCAGCAUAUCCUUGGCUCUUUACACAUGUUUAUUAUGUUCUGAUGUUCCUGCGAUCCUAAAUAGAAACAAACUACAGAUAA